AAUUUGUUUCUUUCAUUUUCUUACAGCAAUGAUUGAUAGUGUAGGUGGGCCGGUGAGGGUCAACAAUUUGUUGUCAACACUAAAUAUACCAACAAUUGGAAAUAAAAACAUGAAAAGAAAUGGAGAGACGUGUUGGAAAUAUCAUUGAAACAGCACUGGCUUCUAUGCCGACAGAAUCUGCUGCAUAAGAUCAAGGAAAUGGAGGAUGUGCAUCAUGAAGAAUCAAUGGUAUCAGAACACAACAUCAUGGAAGAUCUUAUUGACAAGAUCUCGGAGGAUGUCCUUUGCCAGAUGUUUGCCAGCACUAAAGUCUAUUCAUCAGUCAUAUGCUACAGUUACAAAUGACAGUGAAUGGUCAGAUUUAUACAAUUGUGAUUAACAAUCCUCAACAAUACAUCAAACAAAAAAUGCCUAUUAAACUUUCUCACAGACAGUCAAAGGUUGAAAACAAAUCAGAAGUGGUCCACAUCUUAAAAAACCUCACAGCAGAUUAAGACUUUCCCCGAAAUUUCCCUGUAAAACCCGCAGUGGUAUGUCCAGUGCAGUAGAUACUGCCUGGCACAAAAGAGGAUUUGACAGUUUAACAUUGUACUGCACCAAUAAACUAAAUAUGGAGAGAAGCUUAGUCACCAAAGCAGUCAACACCAAAAUACACACAAUGGCCAGGGCACUGAAACUUGGAAGAGUGAAAGAGUAAAGUAGUGCGUUUUUAGCUAACAAAGUGACAUUGCGAGCUUUUGUCUAUCUUUCGUCCGUAAACUUGAUCUUUAAACAACAUCUCAUAAAUUGCCAAGCCAAUUUCAUGCAAACUUACGAUAUUGUCUAGUCAGUUUUUGUUUUGCUUGCAAUCGCUAUAUGACAUGACUAAAGACAUUUAGUUUUAUUCUUAAGUUAUUAUGUUUAUGUUUGUAUAAGACCCAAAUAUAUUGUUAAGAUUCAUUUUUACAAAUUUGAAAGCCAUUAUUGUUCUAGUCAGUUUUUGUUUUGCUUGCAAUCAUUAUAUUACAUGGCUAAAGACAAUUAGUUUUAAUCUUUAAUAGUUAUGUCUAUAUUUGUAUAAGACCCAAAAAUAUUGUUAAGAUUCAUUUUUACAAUUUUGAAAGCCAUUAUUGCUCUAGUUUGU